rnacentral:rRNA from 1 species
AAGACCUUGCRCUUUUGGAGCGGCCGAUGUCUGAUUAGCUAGUUGGUGGGGUGAUGGCUUACCAAAGCUUCGAUCAGUAGCUGGUCUGAGAGGACGGCCAGCCACACUGGGGCUGAGACACGGCCCAGACUCCUACGGGAGGCAGCAGUGGGGAAUUUUGGACAAUGGGGGCAACCCUGAUCCAGCCAUGCCGCGUGAGUGAAGAAGGCCUUCGGGUUGUAAAGCUCUUUCAGCCGGRAAGAAAAGGUUGCGGCUAAUACUCGCGACCCCUGACGGUACCGAAAGAAGAAGCACCGGCUAACUACGUGCCAGCAGCCGCGGUAAUACGUAGGGUGCGAGCGUUAAUCGGAAUUACUGGGCGUAAAGGGUGCGCAGGCGGUUUUGUAAGUCAGAUGUGAAAUCCCCGGGCUUAACCUGGGAACU